AGGUUCGAAGGCGAUCAGAUACCGCCCUAGUUCUAACCAUAAACGAUGCCAACCAGCGAUCCGCCGGAGUUCCUCCGAUGACUCGGCGGGCAGCUUCCCGGGAAACCACAAGUUUUUGGGUUCCGGGGGAAGUAUGGUUGCAAAGCUGAAACUUAAAGGAAUUGACGGAAGGGCACCACCAGGAGUGGAGCCUGCGGCUUAAUUUGACUCAACACGGGAAAUCUCACCCGGCCCGGACACUGGAAGGAUUGACAGAUUGAGAGCUCUUUCUUGAUUCGGUGGAUGGUGGUGCAUGGCCGUUCUUAGUUGGUGGACCUUUGAUCUGUCUGGUUGAUUCCGAUAACGAACGAGACUCUAGCCUACUAAAUAGCUGGCCCAUACUAUCGGUGUGCCGCAACCACGCUUUCGCGAACCGCGGUCGGUGCCGCGGCGUUUCCCGAUCCUUUCUUGGCUUUGUGCCUGGCGUCGUAGUCUCGUGUUCGGCUUCGCGGCUGACGCGAGGUGAAAGCAUCAUGGUGUCUUUGUCAGGGAGGUGAGGGGCAUCGUGUGUUUACCCCGUGGGGAUGUUAGUGUGAGUCGGCCUCCGGAGUGGGUCAAACGCUUCUUAGAGGGACAAGCGGCGUAUAGCCGCGCGAGAUUGAGCAAUAACAGGUCUGUGAUGCCCUUAGAUGUCCGGGGCCGCACGCGCGCUACAAUGAAACGGUGAGCAGGUCCCCUGCCCUAGUCUGAGAGGACCGGGUAACCCUGUGAAUUCCUUUCAUGGUUGGGAUCGGGGCUUGAAACCAACCCCGUGAACUAGGAAUUCCCAGUAGGCGCGAGUCAUCAACUCGCGCCGAUUACGUCCCUGCCCUUUGUACACACCGCCCGUCGCUACUACCGAUUGGAUGGUGUAGCAAGGUCUUUGGACUGGCAUUCGCGAUGGCCCUUACCGGUCGUUGGU
rnacentral:rRNA from 1 species